AUAAACCUGCUGAAGGCCGCGGCCGAUGAUGGUUUAGGGUUAAGGAAACAAGUUGUUUGUGUCGUGUGGCCCACUUUAACACUGUUUAAACAGUGUGUGUGUGUGUGAGAAUGAAUGUGAUUCCUGCAGGUUUAAGUGAGCGUGAGAGGAGAGUGGGUGUGAAAAUGGAGCAGCAAAUCCCAGCCAAUCGUUGCAGAGGCAUUUCAUCAGCGCGGAAUGACGGCUACGGAGAAAUGUCUUUCCAGGAAGAGACUGACAUCACUGAGGUUACGCUGCCUGCAGCUGCAGGAUGCUCCUCCCACUGGAGUUGGCGAGUGGAACCACCAGCAGUCGUGUUCUCCCGCUGUCGCCCAACGUUCUGAGGCAGGAACGUGUGCUCAG